rnacentral:rRNA from 1 species
GACGAACGCUGGCGGCGUGCUUAACACAUGCAAGUCGAACGGAAAGGCCCUGCUUUUGUGGGGUGCUCGAGUGGCGAACGGGUGAGUAACACGUGAGUAACCUGCCCUUGACUUUGGGAUAACUUCAGGAAACUGGGGCUAAUACCGGAUAGGAGCUCCUGCUGCAUGGUGGGGGUUGGAAAGUUUCGGCGGUUGGGGAUGGACUCGCGGCUUAUCAGCUUGUUGGUGGGGUAGUGGCUUACCAAGGCUUUGACGGGUAGCCGGCCUGAGAGGGUGACCGGCCACCUGGGGAAUGGGAUACGGCCCAAACUCCUGCGGGAGGCAACAGGGGGGAAUAUGGAAAAAGGGGCGGAAGCCUGAUGCAGCAACGCCGGGUGCGGGAUGACGGCCUUGGGGUGGUAAACCGCUUUCGCGUGUGACGAAGCGUGAGGGACGGUAAUGGGUAAAGAAGCACCGGCUAACUACGU